CCUANGGGGGGCAGCAGUGAGGAAUAUUGGUCAAUGGGCGCAAGCCUGAACCAGCCAUCCCGCGUGAAGGAAGAAGGCGCUAUGCGUUGUAAACUUCUUUUCCAGGGGAAUAAAAUUUUGUACGUGUACAGAAUUGAAGGUACCUUGGGAAUAAGCAUCGGCUAACUCCGUGCCAGCAGCCGCGGUAAUACGGAGGAUGCAAGCGUUAUCCGGAUUUAUUGGGUUUAAAGGGUGCGCAGGCGGAAAAAUAAGUCAGUGGUGAAAACCUGCAGCUUAACUGUAGAAUUGCCAUUGAUACUGUUAUUCUUGAGUAUGGUCAAGGUAGGUGGAAUGUGUAAUGUAGCGGUGAAAUGCUUAGAUAUUACACAGAACACCGAUUGCGAAGGCAGCUUACUGGGCCAUUACUGACGCUCAUGCACGAAAGCGUGGGGAUCGAACAGGAUUAGAUACCCGANUANUC
rnacentral:rRNA from 1 species